rnacentral:rRNA from 1 species
UUCACGGUUUUCCCUACGGGCACCCACAGGGAUUUCGCAAAUCCCACGGUACCCCCUAGCUGGCAUCGUUUACGGCUAGGACUACCGGGGGUAUCUAAUCCGGGUUCGCGCCCCUAGCUUUCGUCCCUCACGGUCGGAACCCGUUCUAGCAAGACGCCUUCGCCACUGGCGGGUCCCUCAAGGAUUACAGGAUUUUCACUCCUACCCCUGAAGUACUUCUUGCCUCUCCCGGUCCCAAGACCAGCAGUAUCCAUUGGCAGCCUUACGGGUUAAGCCGUAAGAUUUCCCAAUGGACUAACUGGUCCGGCUACGGACCCUUUAAGCCCAAUAAUAGCGGCCACCACUUGAGCCGCCGGUGUUACCGCGGCGGCUGGCACCGGUCUUGCCCGGCUCUUAUUCCACAUGCUUUUUAGGCRUAUGAAAAGCGUACGCAUUGCGCACGCACUCGAGGUCCCCUUAUCGCGCUUUCGCGCAGUGUAAAGUUUUCGCGCCUGCUGCGCCCCGUAGGACCUGGAUUCGUGUCUCAGAAUCCAUCUCCGGGCUCUUGCUCUCACAACCCGUACCGAUUAUCGGCUUGUUGGGACGUUACCCCAGCAACUACCUAAUCGGCCGCAGACCCAUCCUCAGACGCUAAAGCUUURAACCGUAAGGCAUUCCAGCGUUCACGGAUUAUCCGGUAUUAUCUCCAGUUUCCCGGAGUUAUCCCAGAUCUGAGGGUAGGUUGUCCACGUGUUACUGAGCCGUAAGGGCGAAUUCCAGCACACUGGCGGCCGUUACUAGUGGAUCCGAGCUCGGUACCGAGC